rfam:Rubellimicrobium mesophilum DSM 19309 genomic scaffold scaffold1, whole genome shotgun sequence.
GGGUCGUGAGGCUGCCCUUGGGAAGGCGGUCUCGGAUGGACCUUCGAGGAAGUCCGCUCUCACUGAGAGGCGCGCCGCGGCCCCGGCGUCGUGCC